rnacentral:rRNA from 1 species
UACAGAGGGGGGCAAGCGUUUGUUCGGAAUUACUGGGCGUAAAGGGCGCGUAGGCGGCCUUUCUAAGUCGAACGUGAAAUCCCUGGGCUCAACCCCAAGCCUGCACUGGAUACUGCCGAGCUAGAGUCCGGGAGGGGAGAGCGGGAAUUCCUAGUGUAGCGGUGAAAUGCGCAGAUAUUAGGAAGAACACCGGUGGCGAAGGCGGCUCUCUGGAACGGUACU